rnacentral:rRNA from 1 species
GACGAACGCUGGCGGCGUGCCUAAUACAUGCAAGUAGAACGCUGAAGGAGGAGCUUGCUUCUCUGGAUGAGUUGCGAACGGGUGAGUAACGCGUAGGUAACCUGCCUGGUAGCGGGGGAUAACUAUUGGAAACGAUAGCUAAUACCGCAUAAUAGCAGUUGUUGCAUGAUAACUGUUUGAAAGGUGCAAUUGCACCACUACCAGAUGGACCUGCGUUGUAUUAGCUAGUUGGUGGGGUAACGGCUCACCAAGGCGACGAUACAUAGCCGACCUGAGAGGGUGAUCGGCCACACUGGGACUGAGACACGGCCCAGACUCCUACGGGAGGCAGCAGUAGGGAAUCUUCGGCAAUGGACGGAAGUCUGACCGAGCAACGCCGCGUGAGUGAAGAAGGUUUUCGGAUCGUAAAGCUCUGUUGUAAGAGAAGAACGAGUGUGAGAGUGGAAAGUUCACACUGUGACGGUAUCUCACCAGAAAGGGACGGCUAACUACGUG